rnacentral:rRNA from 1 species
AGAGUUUGAUCCUGGCUCAGGACGAACGCUGGCGGCGUGCUUAACACAUGCAAGUCGAACGGGAAGAGAUGAAGAGCUUGCUCUUUAUCGAAUCCAGUGGCAAACGGGUGAGUAACACGUAAACAACCUGCCUUCAGGAUGGGGACAACAGACGGAAACGACUGCUAAUACCGAAUACGUUCCACGGGCCGCAUGACCUGUGGAAGAAAGGGUAGCCUCUACCUGUAAGCUAUCGCCUGAAGAGGGGUUUGCGUCUGAUUAGGCAGUUGGUGGGGUAACGGCCCACCAAACCAACGAUCAGUAGCCGGUCUGAGAGGAUGAACGGCCACACUGGAACUGAGACACGGUCCAGACUCCUACGGGAGGCAGCAGUGGGGAAUCUUCCGCAAUGGACGAAAGUCUGACGGAGCAACGCCGCGUGAGUGAAGACGGCCUUCGGGUUGUAAAGCUCUGUGAUCCGGGACGAAAGAGCCUUGGGUAAAUAGCCUAAGGAAGUGACGGUACCGGAAAAGCAAGCCACGGCUAACUACGUGCCAGCAGCCGCGGUAAUACGUAGGUGGCAAGCGUUGUCCGGAAUUAUUGGGCGUAAAGCGCGCGCAGGCGGCUUCCUAAGUCCAUCUUAAAAGUGCGGGGCUUAACCCCGUGAUGGGAUGGAAACUGGGAAGCUGGAGUAUCGGAGAGGAAAGUGGAAUUCCUAGUGUAGCGGUGAAAUGCGUAGAGAUUAGGAAGAACACCGGUGGCGAAGGCGACUUUCUGGACGAAAACUGACGCUGAGGCGCGAAAGCGUGGGGAGCAAACAGGAUUAGAUACCCUGGUAGUCCACGCCGUAAACGAUGGAUACUAGGUGUAGGAGGUAUCGACCCCUUCUGUGCCGGAGUUAACGCAAUAAGUAUCCCGCCUGGGAAGUACGAUCGCAAGAUUAAAACUCAAAGGAAUUGACGGGGGCCCGCACAAGCGGUGGAGUAUGUGGUUUAAUUCGACGCAACGCGAAGAACCUUACCAGGUCUUGACAUUGAUCGCAAUUUUCAGAAAUGAGAAGUUCUCCUUCGGGAGACGAGAAAACAGGUGGUGCACGGCUGUCGUCAGCUCGUGUCGUGAGAUGUUGGGUUAAGUCCCGCAACGAGCGCAA